rnacentral:rRNA from 1 species
UACGAAGGGGGCUAGCGUUGCUCGGAAUCACUGGGCGUAAAGGGCGCGUAGGCGGCCAUUCAAGUCGGAGGUGAAAGCCCAGGGCUCAACCCUGGAAUUGCCUUCGAUACUGUCUGGCUAGAGACCGGAAGAGGUAAGUGGAACUGCGAGUGUAGAGGUGAAAAUUCGUAGAUAUUCGCAAGAACACCAGUGGCGAAGGCGGCUUACUGGUCCGGUUCUGACGCUGAGGCGCGAAAAGCGUGGGGAGCAAACAGG